GUUUAUUAACCCCGCCCCUUCCGCCCCCGCGCCGCGGCCACGCCCCCUUCCUCACCGCCCGCCGCCGGGAAGAGCGCGGGGGCGCUUUAAUGGGCGGGGACGAGCUGUGCUGCGGGGGCGGGGCUUGGGUUAGGGGCGGGGCUCUGCGUGGGGGCGGGGCUUGGCGUCACCCCACCCCUCUCGGCCAGCAGCGCGUCCAGCUCUCCGCGCAUGCGCUCUAGCGCCGCCGCCAUGUCACGCAGGGCCGCGGCCUGCUCCUCUUCGCGGCGCCGCGCCUGCCCCGCGCUGUGCAGGCGGCAGGCAGAUGUAGGUCCGGAAGAAGGGGCUGGCGCGGGCCCCGGCCUUGAUGCGGGCGGCCAGCGGGCGGCUGAGCUGGCGGGCGCCGAGGGUCAGCAGCUUGGCGAUGGGGAAGGCGCCCGCCACCAUCGUCCGAACGCCGGAUGAUGACGUCAGAGCCGCGCGACUCCGCGGACGGGGCGGGGCUACGCGGUGGUCACGCCCCGCCCCCUUCUAGGCCACGCCCCUUUCUCUGUCCCGCCCCGCCCGUAGGGAUUGGCCGCCACUUAGCCACGCCCCCAGCUAGGCUCCGCCAAUAGGCUGCCUUUCCUGCGCUCUGCCACGCCCACACGGGUUAGGCCACGCCCACGGGUGCGGUCCGGCCCGGCGUUAAC
rnacentral:lncRNA from 1 species